rnacentral:rRNA from 1 species
CGUGUAGGCGGCUUGGCAAGUCGGAUGUGAAAUCCCGGGGCCCAACCCCGGAACUGCAUUCGAAACUGCCUGGCUAGAGUCCCGGAGAGGAAGGCGGAAUUCCCGGUGUAGAGGUGAAAUUCGUAGAUAUCGGGAGGAACGCCAGUGGCGAAGGCGGCCUUCUGGACGGUGACUGACGCUGAGACGCGAAAGCGUGGGGAGCAAACAGGAUUAGAUACCCUGGUAGUCC